GACGAACGCUGGCGGCGUGCUUAACACAUGCAAGUCGAACGGAAAGGCCCUGCUUUUGUGGGGUGCUCGAGUGGCGAACGGGUGAGUAACACGUGAGUAACCUGCCCUUGACUUUGGGAUAACUUCAGGAAACUGGGGCUAAUACCGGAUAGGAGCUCCUGCUGCAUGGUGGGGGUUGGAAAGUUUCGGCGGUUGGGGAUGGACUCGCGGCUUAUCAGCUUGUUGGUGGGGUAGUGGCUUACCAAGGCUUUGACGGGUAGCCGGCCUGAGAGGGUGACCGGCCACAUUGGGACUGGGAGACGGCCCAGACUCAUACGGGAGGCAGCAGUGGGGAAUAUUGCACAAUGGGCGGAAGCCUGAUGCAGCAACGCCGCGUGCGGGAUGACGGCCUUCGGGUUGUAAACCGCUUUCGCCUGUGACGAAGCGUGAGUGACGGUAAUGGGUAAAGAAGCACCGGCUAACUACGU
rnacentral:rRNA from 1 species